GAUGAACGCUGGCGGCGUGCUUAACACAUGCAAGUCGAACGAAGCAGCUUAUUACGAUCCCUUCGGGGUGACGAUUUGUUGACUGAGUGGCGGACGGGUGAGUAACGCGUGGGUAACCUACCUUGUACAGGGGGAUAACAGUUGGAAACGACUGCUAAUACCGCAUAAGCGCACRSYWUCSCAUGAWMCRGUGUGAAAAGUUUUUCGGUAUAAGAUGGACCCGCGUCUGAUUAGCUAGUUGGUGAGGUAACGGCCCACCAAGGCGACGAUCAGUAGCCGACCUGAGAGGGUGACCGGCCACAUUGGGACUGAGACACGGCCCAAACUCCUACGGGAGGCAGCAGUGGGGAAUAUUGCACAAUGGGCGAAAGCCUGAUGCAGCGACGCCGCGUGAGCGAAGAAGUAUUUCGGUAUGUAAAGCUCUAUCAGCAGGGAAGAUAAUGACGGACC
rnacentral:rRNA from 1 species